rnacentral:rRNA from 1 species
UCCGCCAGGGUACUACAAGCGCUAGCUUAAAACCCAAAGGACUUGACGGUGUUUCAGACCCACCUAGAGGAGCCUGUUCUAGAACCGAUAAUCCCCGUUCAACCUCACCACCCCUUGCUUUUCCCGCCUAUAUACCGCCGUCGCAAGCUUACCCUGUGAAGGGCUUACAGUAAGCAAAAUGGACAAAACCCAGAACGUCAGGUCGAGGUGUAGCUUAUGGAGUGGAAAGAAAUGGGCUACAUUUCCUUCACUAAAGGACACUACGAACGACUUCAUGAAACUGAAGUCCCAAGGUGGAUUUAGCAGUAAAANNG